rnacentral:rRNA from 1 species
AGCGAACGCUGGCGGCAGGCCUAAUACAUGCAAGUCGAGCGCACCUUCGGGUGAGCGGCGGACGGGUGAGUAACGCGUGGGAACGUGCCCUUUGGUACGGGAUAACUGAGGGAAACUUCAGCUAAUACCGUAUGUGCCCUACGGGGGAAAGAUUUAUCGCCAUUGGAGCGGCCCGCGUUGGAUUAGGUAGUUGGUGGGGUAAAGGCCCACCAAGCCUACGAUCCAUAGCUGGUCUGAGAGGAUGAUCAGCCACACUGGGACUGAGACACGGCCCAGACUCCUACGGGAGGCAGCAGUAGGGAAUCCUGCGCAAUGGGCGAAAGCCUGACGCAGCCAUGCCGCGUGAAUGAUGAAGGUCUUAGGAUUGUAAAAUUCUUUCACCGGGGAAGAUAAUGACGGUACCCGGAGAAGAAGCCCCGGCUAACUUCGUGCCAGCAGCCGCAGUAAUAC